ensembl:lncRNA
UGUAUGUAAAGACUUUUGUCUCAUUUUUCGGAAUGGCAAACGUGGGUACCAUGCACAGCUUUCGAGUUACACGUUUGCAUUUUGUCAUCUAUUAUCAUGAAGAGAUCAAUUUUAAAAAGUCCUGUUUUUAUAAAAACAGAUUUGAAGAGGGCAAAGAGAUGACUAUGGCUUAUUGGAGUGACAGUUAAAAUGAAAUUUCAUUAUUAUUUUCCUCGUGGGACUUGAACUCAUUAUGAAAUGUCUGAACAGUAAUUUGGAAGAUAAAUAAAUUGGCCAGAUGCCUGAAAUAGUGAAGUCCUACUGACCCACACAAGCGGUAAAGUGAAUUUUUGAAAGAUAAGUGUUAAGCAUAGUGUUAGACUAAGGGAAGGGUUGUGGGGAUGUAAAGUUAGCAUGCAGGGAGUAAUUGCCUGGUGAAAGGUUAAGAGCAAAUGAAAUUAAGCCAUCAUGUGAGGUGUGUGUUGCCUUGCCAUUUAGCUGGGGGCGGGGGUGCAGUUUGGGGGAGAUUGGACUUAGGACCCAUGUCAGAGUAGGUUUUCUUUUCUUUUUUUUUUUUUCUUUUGUCUUUUUGCCUUUCUCUCCGUGGUGUAUGGAGAUUCCCAGGCUAGGGGUCCAAUCGGAGCUGUAGCCACCAGCCUACACCACAGCCACAGCAACGCAGGAUCUGAGCCCUGUCUGCAACCUACACCACAGCUCACGGCAACGCCAGAUCCUUAAUCCAUGGAGCAAGGCCAGGGAUCGAACCCGAAACCUCAUGGUUCCUAGUCGGGUUCGUUAACCACUGCACCACGACGGGAACUCCCAGAGGUGGUUUUCUUAGAGUAAGGUCCUGCCUGGCAGUUGUCGUCCCACAGAGACUGAAUGGCGCUGUGUAAUACUUCUCCACAUCUGCUUCAGGAAGAAAGUGCCUGCUACUCUUACUGUUUCUACGCAGGUUCAUGCCAGCCCAGAACGCAGAAUCAGCACUGGAGGAACUUUAAAAAGCCUAACCUAGAAUCGUCUUUUGAAAGUAAAGAUUGGCUGUUUCUGAACUGAAUGAAGGAUUGUUGUGAAUAUGCCUCUGUGCUGAAGUAGAAUAUGGUUUUCUCUGCUUUCUGAAUCAGUGCACGGUGGUUGGUUGUGGUUUCCCCAGAGCUAAUAACCUUGGUUGUCAUAAUCCAGAUUCUGACUUGCAGGUGAGAGGAUCCAACGGUCUCAAGUUAUGAAGCCUGUCGGUUCUGUUCCGUCAGUGGUUGUGGGAAGGACCCAGUUAUGUGUUCGCAAGACUGUUGCCUUUCGCUGAGUGGGGAAAGGGCACAUUCUCUAAGGACUUGUGUGUAGGAAGAAAAUAACUAUCUUUUUGUAUCAUAACUGAAGCAAACCAUUAUCCAUGGAAAAAUUUUUUUUGAGAUUUUAAGUUCUGAUACACUGAUGGCUUUUUCUUACCUUUGUUAAGUGUAGGGAUUUUGUGGCAAACUUAGUUUCCCCAGCUCACAUUUUAUGGGUCUGGAAUGGGGAA